GAGUGGCGGACGGGUGAGUAACGCGUAGGAAUCUGCCUUAUAGUGGGGGACAACGUGGGGAAACCCACGCUAAUACCGCAUACGCCCUACGGGGGAAAGGAGGGGAUCUUCGGACCUUUCGCUAUGAGAUGAGCCUGCGUUAGAUUAGCUAGUUGGUAGGGUAAAGGCCUACCAAGGCGACGAUCUAUAGCUGGUCUGAGAGGACGAUCAGCCACACUGGGACUGAGACACGGCCCAGACUCCUACGGGAGGCAGCAGUGGGGAAUAUUGGACAAUGGGCGAAAGCCUGAUCCAGCAAUACCGCGUGUGUGAAGAAGGCCUUAGGGUUGUAAAGCACUUUCAAUUGGGAGGAAAACCUGCCGGUCAAUACCCGGCAGCUUGACAUUACCUUUAGAAGAAGCACCGGCUAACUCCGUGCCAGCAGCCGCGGUAAUACGGAGGGUGCGAGCGUUAAUCGGAAUUACUGGGCGUAAAGCGUGCGUAGGUGGCCCGUUAAGUCAGAUGUGAAAGCCCUGGGCUCAACCUGGGAACUGCAUUUGAAACUGGCGGACUAGAGUUUAGUAGAGGGGAGUGGAAUUUCAGGUGUAGCGGUGAAAUGCGUAGAUAUCUGAAGGAACACCAGUGGCGAAGGCGACUCCCUGGACUAAAACUGACGCUGAGGUACGAAAGCGUGGGUAGCAAACAGGAUUAGAUACCCUGGUAGUCCACGCCGUAAACGAUGUCGACUAGCCGUUGGUCCUAUUUACAGGAUUAGUGGCGCAGCUAACGCAUUAAGUCGACCGCCUGGGGAGUACGGCCGCAAGGUUAAAACUCAAAUGAAUUGACGGGGGCCCGCACAAGCGGUGGAGCAUGUGGUUUAAUUCGAUGCAACGCGAAGAACCUUACCUACCC
rnacentral:rRNA from 1 species